rnacentral:lncRNA from 1 species
GAGAUCGUGCAGAUGGAUAGAAUUUAGUUAUUUUUCUUAGCUAUUUAGUUUUAAGUUAGAUUAUUCAUUAAUGUUAUUUGAAUUCAUGUUCGCAUUUGUUUCCUUUUCACAUUUCUUUUGUUUUUUUUUUUUUCCAAUAUUACAUUAUGAUCAUUUUAUUGAAGCUAUUUAUUUAAUUUUAUUAUGCAAUAGCUAUUAUAUUCUCUACUGUUGCUGCCUAUAACUUAUUGAAUUAUUCAUGCAAUAUUAUGCAAAGUAGAAUAGCAUGCAAGAUAAAUUAAUUAGCAAGAUAAAAUAAUCUAAAAACAAAACAAAAUAAUAAAAAUAAAUCCAUUACCAAAGUAAUUCUGUAGAACGCUACUGAAGCCUUGCCAAAAAGAAUGUGUGACGAGCGUCACACAAUCUAUGACGAACGGCACGCCAAGAGCCUGUUACGAGCGUCACACCCCUGUGACGAGCGUAACACCUUUCUGACUAGGUGAACGUUACAUAGCCGUUGGAGACGAACGUUACACCCUUCAAUUUUUAUCUUCCCCAUUUAUUCACAUUUACCCACAUUUAUUUACUUUUCAACCACUUUUUUUUCCAACUUCCAAAUUCUUUUCCUAUAAAUACCCAUCAAAACCUCCCUUCAUUCACCACAAACCAUUCU